rnacentral:ncRNA from 2 species
CAUCAGUAUAGGUUUCAAGGUAUUGAAAUUUGUAGCAGGAUAAUCGGGAAGUUGGUGCAUGCUCAUGAUGAGCAUAAUCCCAACACUGCCCCCGCAACGGUAAUGUGCUUUAAGUGCAGAGUCCGGAGACCGGCCUUGAAACAAACUUACUA